rnacentral:rRNA from 1 species
AUGGUUGUGGUCACUCCCUCUGCGCUGAGGCACGGGACAAGCUCCAUCAUGGAUUUGGAACCGAAGGAAACAUAUCUUUUCCUCAAUGAUACCCCAGCCAUACUCGACCUCCUAGACAUGAUCGACUGCGUCUUUUGGCAUCUAGUUUGGUUCAAGGCGCUGUCAUGGAUAAGAUCUACGGCAACAGCGGCAUCUCCGGCGGGCGGCGAAGAAUUCGCUGACUUGUUGAGAACAAUGGUUGUGGCCACUCCCUCUGCGCUGAGGCACGGGACAAGCUCCAUCAUGGAUUUGGAACCGAAGGAAACAUGUCUUUUCCUCAAUGAUACCCCAUCCAUACUCGACAUCCUAGACACGAUCGAGGAGGCAAACCCUUGGGUCACACCGUCCUGCCCAAUGGUUAGACUUAGGGCUCUUUUUGUUCACUUGGCUGUAGCCUACUGCAGACUCGUAAAUAACACUUUUCCAGCUCUAUCAGUACAACAAGGCAUAAUGCUUGUUGUGUUUUCUCGGGGGAAAUAA